rnacentral:rRNA from 1 species
GACGAACGCUGGCGGCGUGCUUAACACAUGCAAGUCGAACGGGUCUGCCCUGUUUUUUGCGGGGUGGGUCAGUGGCGAACGGGUGAGUAACACGUGAGUAACCUGCCCCUCACUUCUGGAUAACCGCUUGAAAGGGUGGCUAAUACGGGGUGUUCUGGCUGUGCCGCAUGGUGUGGCUGGGAAAGAUUCACUUUUGUGGUGUUUUGGUGGGGGAUGGGCUCGCGGCCUAUCAGCUUGUUGGUGGGGUGAUGGCCUGCCAAGGCUUUGACGGGGAGCCGGCCUGAGAGGGUGGGCGGUCACACUGGGACUGAGCUACGGCCCAGACUCCUGCGGGAGGCAGCAGUGGGGGGUAUUGCACAAUGGGCGGAAGCCUGAUGCAGCGACGUCGCGUGAGGGAUGGAGGCCUUCGGGUUGUGAACCUCUUUCGCCGGUGAAGAAGGUCCUGCUCUUUGUGGUGGGGUUGACGGUAGCCGGGUCAUGAAGCGCCGGCUAACUACGUG